GUUUGAUUCUGGCUCAGAUUGAACGCUGGCGGCAGGCCUAACACAUGCAAGUCGAGCGGCAGCACGGGUACUUGUACCUGGUGGCGAGCGGCGGACGGGUGAGUAAUGCCUAGGAAUCUGCCUAGUAGUGGGGGAUAACGUCCGGAAACGGGCGCUAAUACCGCAUACGUCCUACGGGAGAAAGUGGGGGAUCUUCGGACCUCACGCUAUUAGAUGAGCCUAGGUCGGAUUAGCUAGUUGGUGAGGUAAUGGCUCACCAAGGCUACGAUCCGUAACUGGUCUGAGAGGAUGAUCAGUCACACUGGAACUGAGACACGGUCCAGACUCCUACGGGAGGCAGCAGUGGGGAAUACAGAAAAAGAGCCGAAAACCUGAUCAGCCAUGCCGCGUGUGUGAAGAAGGUCUUCGGAUUGUAAAGCACUUUAAGUUGGGAGGAAGGGCAGUUACCUAAUACGUGAUUGUUUUGACGUUACCGACAGAAUAAGCACCGGCUAACUCUGUGCCAGCAGCCGCGGUAAUACAGAGGGUGCAAGCGUUAAUCGGAAUUACUGGGCGUAAAGCGCGCGUAGGUGGUUUGUUAAGUUGAAUGUGAAAGCCCCGGGCUCAACCUGGGAACUGCAUCCAAAACUGGCAAGCUAGAGUAUGGUAGAGGGUGGUGGAAUUUCCUGUGUAGCGGUGAAAUGCGUAGAUAUAGGAAGGAACACCAGUGGCGAAGGCGACCACCUGGAAUGACACUGACACUGAGUGCAAACGCCUGGG
rnacentral:rRNA from 1 species